AUGACAUGGUGAGAUUUCUAACAGAAGAGUGACCUGGUCUGACUGGUCUCAAAGGAGCCACUCUGGCUCUCUACCAAGAAUAGAUUGCAAGGGAGAAAGUCAAGUCAGGAAUCUGCUGCUGAGCCAGAGAACUCAACUCUCUCCCUAGGGCUCUGGGCCUUUGUGAAUAUCUGAAACAUGAAACAGAUCUCGCCAUUGUUCUUAAGAAAAGGUUUCCAAGACUUUCCAGAUUGCAGUUAUCAACAGCCCCGUGGAGUCUGCUCUGGAGAAAGAACAGUAAUUGUUGAAAGCUAUCUAAAAAAAUGUCUCCAGCCUCCACAAGCCAUCACCCAUUCUGGAAUUGGCUUUUGGUGACGCAGCUGCCUUUGAGUCAUUUCUGCUCCUGUAAGUGACCCUCCAUUCAUCCUCCCAUAAA